CACCACCACCCACAGAAUCGAGAAAGAGCUAUCAAUCUGUCAAUCCUUUCCGUGUCGGGCGGGUGAGGUUUCCCGUCAUGCCGGAGUCUCGUUCGUUAUCGGAAUUAACCAGACAAAUCGCUCCACCAACUAAGACGGCCAUGCACCA